GAUGAACGCUGGCGGCGUGCCUAAUACAUGCAAGUCGAGCGAACAGACGAGGAGCUUGCUCCUCUGACGUUAGCGGCGGACGGGUGAGUAACACGUGGAUAACCUACCUAUAAGACUGGGAUAACUUCGGGAAACCGGAGCUAAUACCGGAUAAUAUAUUGAACCGCAUGGUUCAAUAGUGAAAGACGGUUUUGCUGUCACUUAUAGAUGGAUCCGCGCCGCAUUAGCUAGUUGGUAAGGUAACGGCUUACCAAGGCAACGAUGCGUAGCCGACCUGAGAGGGUGAUCGGCCAAACUGGAACUGAGACACGGUCCAGACUCCUACGGGAGGCAGCAGUCGGGAAUCUUCCGCAAUGGGCGAAAGCCUGACGGAGCAACGCCGCGUGAGUGAUGAAGGUCUUCGGAUCGUAAAACUCUGUUAUUAGGGAAGAACAAAUGUGUAAGUAACUAUGCACGUCUUGACGGUACCUAAUAAGAAAGCCACGGCUAACUACGUG
rnacentral:rRNA from 1 species